rnacentral:rRNA from 1 species
AACGAACGCUGGCGGCAUGCCUAACACAUGCAAGUCGAACGAGACCUUCGUGCCUAUUGGCGCACGGGUGCGUAACGCGUGGGAACCUGCCCUUAGGUUCGGUAUCACUCCCCGAAAGGGGUCCUAAUACCGGAUGAUGUCUUCGCACCAAAGAUUUAUCGCCUUUGGAUGGGCCCUCGUUGGAUUAGCUAGUUGGUAGGGUAAAAGCCUACCAAGGCCACGAUCCAUAGCUGGUCUGAGAGGAUGAUCAGCCACACUGGGACUGAGACACGGCCCAGACUCCUACGGGAGGCAGCAGUGGGGAAUAUUGGACACUGGGCGAAAGCCUGAUACAGCAAUGCCGCGUGAGUGAUGAAGGCCUUAGGGUUGUAAAGCUCUUUUACCCGGGAUGAUAAUGACAGUACCGGGAGAAUAAGCUCCGGCUAACUCCGUG